GCAGUGGUGGUUCAGCAGUAGAAUUCUCACCUUUCAUGUGGGGGACCUGGGUUUGAUUCUUGGCCAACGUA
rnacentral:tRNA from 1 species